CCCUCCCCAUAAAUAAUGACCACUUCCUUAGGGAUCUUCGUGGUAACAAUACACUGGUCUCGUGUAUUGCCUUUCUGAAAUAUCACCUAAUCACCUACCGACCUUGUGCUCAGUUGGUAGAGAGCAUUGAACUGCAAUAUUUGACAAAAUUAUGUACCCCCGUGCUCCUAGCCUGCUCCACAGCGGGCUGACGGUCUCCAACACAGGCUACAGGGCUACUACUUUCCAUGACUGGAAAGUUUGGAAAUUGCACACCC
rnacentral:lncRNA from 1 species